CCUACGGGAGGCAGCAGUGAGGAAUAUUGGUCAAUGGACGAGAGUCUGAACCAGCCACGUAGCGUGAAGGAUGACUGCCCUCUGGGUUGUAAACUUCUUUUAUAUGGGAAUAAAAUGUUCCACGUGUGGAAUUUUCUAUGUACCAUAUGAAUACGGAUCGGCUAACUCCGUGCCAGCAGCCGCGGUAAUACGGAGGAUCCGAGCGUUAUCCGGUUUUAUUGGGUUUAAAGGGAGCGUAGGUGGAUUGUUAAGUCAGUAGUGAAAGUUUGCGGCUCAACCGUAAGAUUGCAGUGGAAACUGGCAGGCUUGAGUACAGUAGAGGUGGGCGGAAUUCGUGGUGUAGCGGUGAAAUGCGUAGAUAUCACGAAGAACUCCGGUUGCGAAGGCAGUUCACUGGACUGCAACUGACACUGAGGCUCGAAAGUGUGGGUAUCAAACAGGAUUAGAUACCCGUGUAGUC
rnacentral:rRNA from 1 species